rnacentral:rRNA from 1 species
GGCUCGAGGACGAACGCUGGCGGCGUGCCUAACACAUGCAAGUCGAACGGGGUUAAGUGAAAUUUCGGAUGGAGCUUAACUUAGUGGCGGACGGGUGAGUAACGCGUGGAUAACCUGCCUCACACUGGGGGGAUAGCAGCUGGAAACGGCUGGUAAUACCGCAUAAGACCACAGCACCGCAUGGUGCAGGGGUAAAAGAUUUAUCGGUGUGAGAUGGAUCCGCGUCUGAUUAGCCAGUUGGCGGGGUAACGGCCCACCAAAGCGACGAUCAGUAGCCGGCCUGAGAGGGUGAACGGCCACAUUGGGACUGAGACACGGCCCAAACUCCUACGGGAGGCAGCAGUGGGGAAUAUUGCACAAUGGGCGCAAGCCUGAUGCAGCAACGCCGCGUGAGUGAAGAAGUAUUUCGGUAUGUAAAGCUCUAUCGGCAGGGAAGAAAGGCCCUUAACAGGGAGAUGACGGUACCUGACUAAGAAGCCCCGGCUAACUACGUGCCAGCAGCAGC